rnacentral:rRNA from 1 species
GGCGAGUGAAGCGGCAAGAGCUCAAAUUUGAAAGCUGGCCCCCUCGGGGUCCGCAUUGUAAUUUGCAGAGGAUGCUUCGGGAGUGGCCCCCAUCUAAGUGCUCUGGAACGGGCCGUCAUAGAGGGUGAGAAUCCCGUAUGGGAUGGGGUGUCCGCGACCAUGUGAAGCUCCUUCAACGAGUCGAGUUGUUUGGGAAUGCAGCUCUAAAUGGGUGGUAAAUUUCAUCUAAAGCUAAAUAUUGGCCGGAGACCGAUAGCGCACAAGUAGAGUGAUCGAAAGAUGAAAAGCACUUUGAAAAGAGAGUUAAAAAGCACGUGAAAUUGUUGAAAGGGAAGCGCUUGCGACCAGACUCGCCUGCGGGGUUCAGCCGGUAUUCGUACCGGUGUACUUCCCCGUGGGCGGGCCAGCGUCGGUUUGGGCGGCCGGUCAAAGGCCCUCGGAAUGUAACGCCUCUCGGGGCGUCUUAUAGCCGAGGGUGCCAUGCGGCCAGCCCGGACCGAGGAACGCGCUUCGGCACGGACGCUGGCAUAAUGGUCGUAAGCGAC